UGGGGAAUAUUGCGCAAUGGACGAAAGUCUGACGCAGCGACGCCGCGUGAGGGAUGAAGGUUUUUCGGAUCGUAAACCUCUGUCAGGAGGGAAGAAAGCGCAUGGCGCCAAUCAGUCAUGCGUUGACGGUACCUCCAAAGGAAGCGCCGGCUAACUCCGUGCC
rnacentral:rRNA from 1 species